AUGCUGGAGGUAUCAGAAGUGCGAAUGCUGACAUAAGUAACGAUAAAGCGGGUGAAAAGCCCGCUCGCCGGAAGACCAAGGGUUCCUGUCCAACGUUAAUCGGGGCAGGGUGAGUCGACCCCUAAGGCGAGGCCGAAAGGCGUAGUCGAUGGGAAACAGGUUAAUAUUCCUGUACUUGGUGUUACUGCGAAGGGGGGACGGAGAAGGCUAUGUUGGCCGGGCGACGGUUGUCCCGGUUUAAGCGUGUAGGCUGGUUUUCCAGGCAAAUCCGGAAAAUCAAGGCUGAGGCGUGAUGACGAGGCACUACGGUGCUGAAGCAACAAAUGCCCUGCUUCCAGGAAAAGCCUCUAAGCAUCAGGUAACAUCAAAUCGUACCCCAAACCGACACAGGUGGUCAGGUAGAGAAUACCAAGGCGCUUGAGAGAACUCGGGUGAAGGAACUAGGCAAAAUGGUGCCGUAACUUCGGGAGAAGGCACGCUGAUAUGUAGGUGAAGUCCCUCGCGGAUGGAGCUGAAAUCAGUCGAAGAUACCAGCUGGCUGCAACUGUUUAUUAAAAACACAGCACUGUGCAAACACGAAAGUGGACGUAUACGGUGUGACGCCUGCCCGGUGCCGGAAGGUUAAUUGAUGGGGUCAGCGCAAGCGAAGCUCUUGAUCGAAGCCCCGGUAAACGGCGGCCGUAACUAUAACGGUCCUAAGGUAGCGAAAUUCCUUGUCGGGUAAGUUCCGACCUGCACGAAUGGCGUAAUGAUGGCCAGGCUGUCUCCACCCGAGACUCAGUGAAAUUGAACUCGCUGUGAAGAUGCAGUGUACCCGCGGCAAGACGGAAAGACCCCGUGAACCUUUACUAUAGCUUGACACUGAACAUUGAGCCUUGAUGUGUAGGAUAGGUGGGAGGCUUUGAAGUGUGGACGCCAGUCUGCAUGGAGCCGACCUUGAAAUACCACCCUUUAAUGUUUGAUGUUCUAACGUUGACCCGUAAUCCGGGUUGCGGACAGUGUCUGGUGGGUAGUUUGACUGGGGCGGUCUCCUCCUAAAGAGUAACGGAGGAGCACGAAGGUUGGCUAAUCCUGGUCGGACAUCAGGAGGUUAGUGCAAUGGCAUAAGCCAGCUUGACUGCGAGCGUGACGGCGCGAGCAGGUGCGAAAGCAGGUCAUAGUGAUCCGGUGGUUCUGAAUGGAAGGGCCAUCGCUCAACGGAUAAAAGGUACUCCGGGGAUAACAGGCUGAUACCGCCCAAGAGUUCAUAUCGACGGCGGUGUUUGGCACCUCGAUGUCGGCUCAUCACAUCCUGGGGCUGAAGUAGGUCCCAAGGGUAUGGCUGUUCGCCAUUUAAAGUGGUACGCGAGCUGGGUUUAGAACGUCGUGAGACAGUUCGGUCCCUAUCUGCCGUGGGCGCUGGAGAA
rnacentral:rRNA from 1 species